GAUGAACGCUGGCGGCGUGCCUAAUACAUGCAAGUCGAGCAAAGCGGGGACGGGUGAGUAACACGUGGAUAACCUCCUAUAAGACUGGGAUAACUUCGUGAAACCGGAGCUAAACCGGAUACUUAUACAUGGUUCUGGGCUGGAUUAGCUAGUUGGUAAGGUAACGGCUUACCAAGGCAACGAUGCAUAGCCGACCUGAGAGGAUGACCGGCCACACUGGAACUGAGACACGGUCCAGACUCCUACGGGAGGCAGCAGUAGGGAAUCUUCCGCAAUGGGCGAAAGCCUGACAGAGCAACGCCGCGUGAGUGAUGAAGGUCUUCGGAUUGUAAAACUCUGUUAUCAGGGAAGCGGUACCUAAUCAGAAAGCAACGGCUAACUACGUGCCAGCAGCCGCGGUAAUAC
rnacentral:rRNA from 1 species